rnacentral:rRNA from 1 species
GCUUAUACUCGACCGUCAGCGGCAUGUGCGAUCGCGGCCCGCGAGGGUAUUUAACCGGUCACGAAGCCCUGACGAGUAGGAGGGUCGCGGCGGUGAGCGCAGAAGGGCUGGCCGCGAGGCCGUCUGGAGCCGCCGUCGGUGCAGAUCUUGGUGGUAGUAGCAAAUACUCCAGCGAGGCCCUGGAGGACUGACGUGGAGAAGGGUUUCGUGUGAACAGCCGUUGCACACGAGUCAGUCGAUCCUAAGCCCUAGGCGAAAGCCGAUGUCGAUGCGGUGUAGCUUUAUUGUGAUAUAUAAACAAAAUAUAUUGUUGAACGCACACACCCGUCGGGCGAAAGGGAAUCCGGUUCCUAUUCCGGAACCUGGCAGCGGAACCGUCAAUAAGUCGGGC